rnacentral:sRNA from 1 species
AUAGAAAGAUAUAAGUGAUGGUUAUACGGGGUGUUAAAAUGGGUUAAAAUUUAUGGGUCAAUUUAAUUCAAUUCAACCCAUGAAUUUUAAUGAGUUGAAAUUUUUAACUCAAAUGAGUUAAUGGGUCAAAUGAGUUGAUGAGUCAAUUGGUUUGAGGAGUAAAAUGAGUUGGGUUGUAAUGGUUAAUGGUUUCAAUAGUUUACCCAAUUAACCCAUCAAGUGUUGUAAAAUUGAAUUAAACCCGUGAUUUUUCUGUCAAAAACGUAAACCCGUGAUUUUCCCGCCAAAAACGUAAACCCGAGAUUUUUCCACCAAAAACGUAAAUCCAUAAUUUUCCCGUCAAAAACGUAAACCCGUAAUUUUCCCGCUAAACCCGUGAUUUUCCCGCUAAAAACGUAAAUCCGUGAUUUUCCCGCAAAAAACGUAAACCCGUGAUUUUCCCGCCAAAAAUGUAAACCAAUAAUUUUCUCGCCAAAAACGUAAAUCUGUAAUUUUCCCGCCAAAAACGUAAACCUAUAAUUUUCUGCCAAAAACGUAAACCCGUGAUUUUCUCGCCAAAAACGUAAAUCCAUAAAAAGUGGAAUCCGAUAUCCUAAGUUUGAUGAUAAUGAAUUAAUAAUGAUAAUUAUUUAUUAUUAUUUUAUACU